rnacentral:rRNA from 1 species
CACGCCGUAAACGAUGGGUACUAGGUGUAGGGGGUAUCAACUCCCCCUGUGCCGUCGUAAACACAGUAAGUACCCCGCCUGGGGAGUACGGUCGCAAGAUUAAAACUCAAAGGAAUUGACGGGGGCCCGCACAAGCAGCGGAGCAUGUGGUUUAAUUCGAGGCAACGCGAAGAACCUUACCUAGACUUGACAUCUCCUGAAUUACCCUUAAUCGGGGAAGCCCUUCGGGGCAGGAAGACAGGUGG